CCCACUCUCCAACCCACACCCUUCCCCAUUACCCACACCCUGCAACACCCCACUCUCCAACCCACACCCUUCCCCAUUACCCACAUCCUGCAACACCCCACUCUCCAACCCACACCCUUCCCCAUUACCCACAUCCUGCAACACCCCACUCUCCAACCCACACCCUUCCCCAUUACCCACAUCCUGCAACACCCCACUCUCCAACCCACACCCUUCCCCAUUACCCACAUCCUGCAACACCCCACUCUCCAACCCAUACCUGCCCCAACAACUCCACACCCUGCAACACCCCACCCGCCAAACUACACCCUGCCCCAACUACUCCACACCCUGCAACACCCCACCCUCUGACCCACACCCUGUCCAAACCACCCACUCCAAUCCAAAACCUGCACUCCAAUCACCACACCCUGCCAAAAUACCCACUCCCUCCCACACAAAGCAGGAAUGAUAUUAAUAGUUGAGAGGCUGGCUAUUGUUCUCAUCGUCAUGGUUGCUGGUUUAUCACACAGAGGUAGCCCCACGGAGGUCCCAGCCUGUGCUGUUAUUCCUUGUGUUACAUCACCUUUAUCAUGACUUAGGCUGAACUUUUUCCAUCUCAUCAAAAAGAAACAGCCUUCUCCCUGAUCAUGGUUCGGUAUGUUUGCACAGGAUUAAGUGAUGAAGACAAGCUUGUAAUCGUAUUUCAACAUUUCAGACAGUGCUUGGUGAUGUUUCUGCCACACCACAAAAAAAACAGAUUUAGUCCAAGCAUUCCUCAAAUCAGUUUUUAUUUGGAUGUUGUCAUAUCAAAGCCAUAAUAUGCAAAUGCUGGGAUAAACAUGGGGAAUAGCAACUUUAAAGACUUCAGCAGCAACAUAAACUCUGUCAAACCAGCCUGGUCAGCCUGCAAAAACACAAUGGCAAACACACUGGAGCAUCAGCAUUCAUUUCCAGUACAGCACCAUGAGUGAAGUACAUAUAGUUGAAACCUUAUAGUUGCAGCUGAAGCCAUACAGAUCUGUUUGAAUUCCAUGGUAAUCAUCCUACAUGCAGUGCCGAUGUUGGGGGACAUUGGUUUUGCCAUUUAAAGAAGCAUAGUGAGCAUAGAACAAUUCAGGUUUAGGUAAAUAUUCCAUAUUCCAACAUUCUCCAGUGUGUUAACCUGCCCCCCCCCCCCCCCCCCCCAAAACACACACACACACACAUACACACAGACACACACAGUUUUCUAAGAUGAAAAAGUGUGUGUACGGCUGAAAAAUUUUAGUAGGUAUUCUUUUAUUGAAGAAUAGCAUGCAUGACAAUGUAAUCAUUUAACUUUUUAAUCUGAGUACAUGUUUUAUGUACUUCAAUUUAGAUCCUAAGCAGGAUCUUAAUCUCAGGAAGAUUUUAUCUGAAAGAUCGCUUGUUGGUAGUAUGCGUGUUCUCUGUUUCUCCAAUGGGUGGCGUGUUUCUUUUAGAAGAAUUGCCAUUAUCUGAAUAUGCUGUGCUGGUUUGCAGUUCAUCAUAUUGUCAGAUGGUGGUGCUGUUGUUCUGUAUCCAUAAAGGCUCUGGGCCAUGUUAAAAACCUGUUUCUCUUUGCUUUCUUGCAUUCCCCUUCCAGGAGUGCAGUUUCUCUGGGGUGUCUCUGAUUCCACAUCACAUGCAAUCGUUGCCCAUCCAUCACUGGCAUGGCCACCGGAACAGCAUCAAUCCCUCUGUCAAAGCCCUCACUACCAGGGGCAAAUGAAAGAGAGAAAGAGAAGAAGAGAAGAAAGGGACUCUAAACACCUCGUGAUUUAAAACUCAGCCGCAGAGAGAGCACUGCCACAUCGUACGG